CCUACGGGAGGCAGCAGUGAGGAAUAUUGGUCAAUGGACGAGAGUCUGAACCAGCCAAGUAGCGUGAAGGAUGACUGCCCUAUGGGUUGUAAACUUCUUUUAUAUGGGAAUAAAAUGUUCCACGUGUGGGAUUUUGUAUGUACCAUAUGAAUAAGGAUCGGCUAACUCCGUGCCAGCAGCCGCGGUAAUACGGAGGAUCCGAGCGUUAUCCGGAUUUAUUGGGUUUAAAGGGCGCGUAGGUGGAUUGUUAAGUCAGUUGUGAAAGUUUGCGGCUCAACCGUGAAAUUGCAGUUGAAACUGGCAGUCUUGAGUGCAGUAGAGGUGGGCGGAAUUCGUGGUGUAGCGGUGAAAUGCUUAGAUAUCACGAAGAACUCCGAUUGCGAAGGCAGUUCACUGGACUGCAACUGACACUGAGGCUCGAAAGUGUGGGUAUCAAACAGGAUUAGAUACCCGUGUAGUC
rnacentral:rRNA from 1 species